rnacentral:rRNA from 1 species
AUGAGGCGGGCGCGGGGCGGGGCUUGCCGGAGAGGCGAGUGCGAGGCGGCGGCGCUUGCAAGGGCCGGGCGGCGGAACUGCAGGCGCUGGGUGGCAGCACUGCAAGCGCCAGGCGGCGGAACUGCAUGCGCAGGUGGCGGUGAGGCCGACACGGUCAGACCAGGAGGGACGGGCGCGCUAGGAGCGGCGGCGACGGCCAGGUCGGCGACCGGAUCGAGCAGGGGAUGGCCGGGCAAGGCGAGCUCCACCUCUGGCUCGCCGGCCAUGGCGCUUGAACGGCGUACUAGGAGGGAUGGCGGCGCGACGUGA